rnacentral:rRNA from 1 species
GAUGAACGCUGGCGGCGUGUCUAAUACAUGCAAGUCGAGCGAACAGAUGAGGAGCUUGCUCCUCUGACGUUAGCGGCGGACGGGUGAGUAACACGUGGAUAACCUACCUAUAAGACUGGGAUAACUUCGGGAAACCGGAGCUAAUACCGGAUAAUAUAUUGAACCGCAUGGUUCAAUAGUGAAAGACGGUUUUGCUGUCACUUAUAGAUGGAUCCGCGCCGCAUUAGCUAGUUGGUAAGGUAACGGCUUACCAAGGCAACGAUGCGUAGCCGACCUGAGAGGGUGAUCGGCCACACUGGAACUGAGACACGGUCCAGACUCCUACGGGAGGCAGCAGUAGGGAAUCUUCCGCAAUGGGCGAAAGCCUGACGGAGCAACGCCGCGUGAGUGAUGAAGGUCUUCGGAUCGUAAAACUCUGUUAUUAGGGAAGAACAAAUGUGUAAGUAACUAUGCACGUCUUGACGGUACCUAAUCAGAAAGCCCCGGCUAACUACGUG